rnacentral:misc_RNA from 1 species
UCAAACUUGGUCAUUUAGAGGAAGUAAAAGUCGUAACAAGGUCUCCGUUGGUGAACCAGCGGAGGGAUCAUUAGCGUGUUUUCGCACCCGCUUAUCCCCUGUGAACCCGCGGCGUGGCCGCUGUUGUUGCCUCGGCCGGAUGCCCCAGGGCGGGGCCCUCGGCCUGGGAGACCAGGCGCUGGCCGGCGGCGCGCGAACUUCUGGAUACUGAUCGAGGGGAGCUCUGAGUAACCGAUAUCUGAAUCGAUGGAAAACUUUCAACAACGGAUCUCUUGGUUCUGGCAUCGAUGAAGAACGCAGC